rnacentral:rRNA from 1 species
AGUGAACGCUGGCGGUAGGCCUAACACAUGCAAGUCGAACGGCAGCACAGUAAGAGCUUGCUCUUACGGGUGGCGAGUGGCGGACGGGUGAGGUAUACAUCGGACUCUACUUUUUCGUGGGGGAUAACGUAGGGAAACUUACGCUAAUACCGCAUACGACCUACGGGUGAAAGCAGGGGAUCUUCGGACCUUGCGCGAUUGAAUGAGCCGAUGUCGGAUUAGCUAGUUGGCGGGGUAAAGGCCCACCAAGGCGACGAUCCGUAGCUGGUCUGAGAGGAUGAUCAGCCACACUGGAACUGAGACACGGUCCAGACUCCUACGGGAGGCAGCAGUGGGGAAUAUUGGACAAUGGGCGCAAGCCUGAUCCAGCCAUACCGCGUGGGUGAAGAAGGCCUUCGGGUUGUAAAGCCCUUUUGUUGGGAAAGAAAAGCAGCAGGUUAAUACCCCGCUGUUCUGACGGUACCCAAAGAAUAAGCACCGGCUAACUUCGUG